ACGGGUGAGUAACGCGUGGGAAUCUACCGUGCCCUGCGGAAUAGCUCCGAGAAACUGGAAUUAAUACCGCAUACGCCCUACGGGGGAAAGAUUUAUCGGGGUAUGAUGAGCCCGCGUUGGAUUAGCUAGUUGGUGGGGUAAAGGCCUACCAAGGCGACGAUCCAUAGCUGGUCUGAGAGGAUGAUCAGCCACAUUGGGACUGAGACACGGCCCAAACUCCUACGGGAGGCAGCAGUGGGGAAUAUUGGACAAUGGGCGCAAGCCUGAUCCAGCCAUGCCGCGUGAGUGAUGAAGGCCUUAGGGUUGUAAGGCUCUUUCACCGGAGAAGAUAAUGACGGUAUCCGGAGAAGAAGCCCCGGCUAACUUCGUGCCAGCAGCCGCGGUAAUACGAAGGGGGCUAGCGUUGUUCGGAAUUACUGGGCGUAAAGCGCACGUAGGCGGAUAUUUAAGUCAGGGGUGAAAUCCCAGAGCUCAACUCUGGAACUGCCUUUGAUACUGGGUAUCUUGAGUAUGGAAGAGGUAAGUGGAAUUCCGAGUGUAGAGGUGAAAUUCGUAGA
rnacentral:rRNA from 1 species